rnacentral:lncRNA from 1 species
GGCAGAGCCAACCCUGGCGUGACGAGUGGAACACAAAGACGGGCAAACGCUGUCAAUCCUCUGCCUCCGCCGUGACUCACACUGAAACACCUUCCUUCUGUGUGGUGCCCUCUGUGUGGUCAGAAGCGCUUUGAAGAGAGGAAAAUCCCAGUGUCUACUCAGCGAGCACCCCUGGAGUCCUCCUGUCAGCCAGGCACUGUCCCAGAUGGGAGGUGCGAGGUGAGAUUAUUCCAGUAAUUCAUACAGCACAGCAGGAAGAGUGGUCACUGAGCUGUGUGGCUAAAGGGGAGGCCCUCUGGGGUCUGGGAGCAUCCAUCGCUCAGGGAGCAUAUAAGGGACAUAACUUCAGGGAAGGCGCUGGCAAAAUAAGGAGCUCUUUGCCCUCUUCUUACCUCCCCUUUGUUCACUCCCGUCCUCCAGUUCCUAGGCUCUGCCCAUUGCCAAGAGCUUGCCCUCAGCUUGCCACUGGGUCCCCCUAAGCGGGUGAAAACACGGAGUAGAAGGAGCUCGGGGUCAAGGGUGGGCAGACCUGGCUUGCAGCUCAUGUACCCAUAAUAUCCCAGUCCAGCCUGGCUCAGAAGACUGCUCCUGGAGCUAGUAGACGGUGCCUGUGGAAGUGUUUUAGAGACGGAAAGCAGGGCCCAGUAGCAACAGGGGUUUGGGCCCAUUUGGGAGCCAUCAUGUCCAGGUGCUGUGCUCGCUCUGUUCCCUGUGCACGGAGCUGCUAAUCCCUACUGCAAGCCUGAGAUGUGGAUCCCUGUCCUUCUUCAGGUGAGGGAGCCGAGUGUGGGAGCAGCUGUGUCAGUGAUGGGCGCCCAGGGGUGGAGAGGAGCUCAGCUCUCCGUGGCUCUUUCACUAUUUUCUAUGCCUUGAAUCCAAGGCAUUGCAACUGCACAGGCUCCCUGCAUGAAUCACGGUGUCUAGUCUAGAGAAAUGUAUUCUCUUUUAAAAUCCAAGAACC